AACGCACAUUGCGCCCUUCGGUAUUCCGUUGGGCAUGCCUGUUCGAGCGUCAUUUAACCCUUCAAGCUCUGCUUGGUGUUGGGCGUUUGUUCCGCCUCCGCGCGUGGACUCGCCUCAAAUUCAUUGGCAGCCGGUCAGUUGGCUUUCGUGCGCAGCGCAUUGCGUAGCGGCUCCAGCUUGCCUCCUACCAUUAAGCUACUCUACAUGUUUUGACCUCGGAUCAGGUAGGGAUACCCGCUGAACUUAA
rnacentral:misc_RNA from 1 species